UUACGGCCACAUCACGUUGAAACAUCGGUUCUCGUACGAUCACCGAUGUUAAGCAACGUCGAACCUGGUUAUUACCUAGAUGGGUGACCGCUUGGGAAUACCAGGCGCUAUA